GAAAGCCUUCGGCUCAACCGAAGAAGUGCAUCGGAAACUGGGAAACUUGAGUGCAGAAGAGGACAGUGGAACUCCAUGUGUAGCGGUGAAAUGCGUAGAUAUAUGGAAGAACACCAGUGGCGAAGGCGGCUGUCUGGUCUGUAACUGACGCUGAGGCUCGAAAGUAUGGGUAGCAAACAGGAUUAGAUACCCUGGUAGUCCAUACCGUAAACGAUGAAUGCUAAGUGUUGGAGGGUUUCCGCCCUUCAGUGCUGCAGCUAACGCAUUAAGCAUUCCGCCUGGGGAGUACGGCCGCAAGGCUGAAACUCAAAGGAAUUGACGGGGGCCCGCACAAGCGGUGGAGCAUGUGGUUUAAUUCGAAGCUACGCGAAGAACCUUACCAGGUCUUGACAUACUAUGCAAAUCUAAGAGAUUAGACGUUCCCUUCGGGGACAUGGAUACAGGUGGUGCAUGGUUGUCGUCAGCUCGUGUCGUGAGAUGUUGGGUUAAGUCCCGCAACGAGCGCAACCCUUAUUAUCAGUUGCCAGCAUUAAGUUGGGCACUCUGGUGAGACUGCCGGUGACAAACCGGAGGAAGGUGGGGAUGACGUCA
rnacentral:rRNA from 2 species